AUUGAACGCUGGCGGCAUGCUUUACACAUGCAAGUCGAGCGGCAGCGCGGGGGCAACCCUGGCGGCGAGCGGCGAACGGGUGAGUAAUGCAUCGGAACGUACCCUGGAGUGGGGGAUAACGCCUCGAAAGCGGCGCUAAUACCGCAUAUGCUCUUAGGAGGAAAGGGGGGGACCGCAAGUCCUCACGCUCUGGGAGCGGCUGAUGUCAGAUUAGCUAGUUGGUGGGGUAAAGGCUUACCAAGGCGACGAUCGGUAUCUGGUCUGAGAGGAUGAUCAGCCGUACUGAGACAGAGACACGGCCCAGACUCCUACGGGAGGCAGCAAGGGGGAGUUUUGGCCAAUGGGGGCAACCCUGAUCCAGACAUGCCGCAUGAGUGAAGAGAGCCUUCGGGUUGUAAAGCUAUUUUGGUCGGGAAGAAAGUGCCCUGCUUAAUACGCGGGGUAUUUGACGGUACCGGCAGAAUAAGCACCGGCUAACUACGUGCCAGCCGCCGCUGUAAAAC
rnacentral:rRNA from 1 species